rnacentral:lncRNA from 1 species
AUCAAUUAACAAAGUAAUAAUAAUAGUAAUAACUAAAGUUGUAUAAAUAUUGGAAUAAUAAAAAUGAACAAUAAUGUUUAGAUCUCACAAUCCAUGAAGAAACUGAAACUUUAACCUAUCUCCAACUAGAACUAAAAAAGUUAGCCACACAUGACUGAAAGAAAGUAUAAAAAGAAAGAAAAAAAUUCAACAGAAGUGAAGAUGAUUGCUGCAGUCGAUAAGCAUGGUAUUUAUAGUAGUUGAACCCUAGCAGAACCCUCACUAAUCUUUCCUAAAAAACUUGAUUUGAAUAUCUUUAAUGAAAUAACUCCUUUGAUUUGUUUUCUUGAGGGGUGGAGAUUCCUUCACUUUUGGAGAGAUCAUGCCGCACUUUCUAGGGUGACAUCGCAUGGAAUUUUGCAUCUUUAAAUGAGUAGAUCUAAUUUUUUUUUCUUUUCCAAGUCAGUCGCGCUUUCUAUUAUAGACUGGCGGUUUGCCUAAAGGUUUGGGCAAGAUUUAGGUCCAAUAUUGAUUGGGUCAUUCAGCAGCUUCUACCUAGAGCCUUUGGGCAAAUUUUGACUCUGGGGGAACAGGAUCAGAAAUCGCAGGUCAAGCCUUGUCCAGCAAAUUUUCUCAGGAUGUUCGUUCAGUUAGCUAUUCUUAUGUUUUUCUGUGAAAAUAUGAAAAAAGGCAUAAGAUUAAUAAGAAAAUACUCAGAUUAGUGUUAAAGAUAUAGUAUAAUGUGUGCUAAAAUUGUGUUUUAUCAAAUACCCCUACACUUAAAUAUUUACUUGUCCUCAAUUAUAGAAUAAUUUAGACCAUCAAUAUCUUCCUUUUUGUUCCCACAUUCCACUUAAUCUACCAAUCAAGACUCCAAGAUUGAAGCAUUACAGUGUAACCAGCAUGCACCAAGAUGAUUCUUCCUAAGUUCCUUUUGCAAACCGUGGCUCAAAGGCGCUUUCCUCACAAGAGAGAGAGCUUGUUGUUAUUCAUUCAAGCAUUUAAAUUUUGGGGCAACUACAUAGCAAUUACUACACCCUGCCCUUACCAUUUCCAGUGCAUAUUUAACUGGUUUCCUGGGUACUUUUAUUUAAAGCACUUUUUCUUGCUUAAAAUUUCAUCAACCUUUUUACUCGAAGGUGCAAAUUGUGAUACCCAUCCCCGGUUACUUGGUUAGUCAUAAUUUUCAAGUGGCUACUAGCUCUGCUCAUAGUCUUAAACUAGCAUAGCAAGUUUAAUUUGUAUUGCACACCGCCAUUUUUUUUUAUUCCCUUCCAUGGUUUGAGAAAAUUUCAGCAGCAUUUACCGAGCAAGUUGCACCUAUCACAUAAUUAUAAGUUUUACUCAUCUCAAUUAUAAUUUAAGACAACCAUCUAAACCACUAUGAGCAAAAAGAGACUUCAAAAGAAGCACCCACUAUAAGUUAUACAAUCAAGGUUUCGAGAGUAAGCAAAUAAAUGAGGUCAUAAGAAUGGUGUUGAUGAUCUAAUUAUCAUGCUUUGGUGUUUGUGUGUGCAAAGAAAAAUGUGUAAAAAGUAGUAAUGGUGCAAAAAAUGCACAGCAUGUGCUAGUUACUAUGAUCCCUCAUUCCCUCACCCCCACACCUAGCCUAAACAUCCCUCAACAGAAAGAUAUAAUGAGUAAGAUAGUAACUUCCCUAGGCAUGUUGAUUUGGGCAAGCCUGUGGUGCAAUCUCAAGGCUGUUGUCCUGGUUUAGGGAAAAAUAUUAAUCAAAAGCUGUAGCAAGCCCUUCAUACGUUGCAUACAUUCGUCUAUCCUAUCUAAAUGGGCAACCAAGUGGGAUUCUGGAGAGGGGUGCAAUUUAGCAGGGUCUGUUGUAGGUGCUUUAGCAUGGUCUGCAGCAGGUUGAGGAGAGGGUGGGCGAUCCUAAUGAAACACAUGCUCGUGGCAUGGAAUAAUUAGAACUACAGGAGUCAAAAAGUAAACGACACUAACCCUACGAAGUAACCCUAUAUCAUCUAAGACACGUAAAUCUAGAGGGGUUGAUUUGCUGGCUUUGUGAAGGUCAGUAUGUUCUGGGUCAAAAAGAUGCAAAUUUAUAGCCAAAAGGGUAAUCACGGGGCCAAGGAUGAGAAGGCAGCAGAAGGAUAGGAUAUUAGAGAAUUGAGCUGCAACACAAAAUUCAAAAUUAAACUUAUGCUUAGACACCAUGAACCACAAGAAAAAUAGCUCUGUUUUGGUGAGAAUAUUAGACACAUCCUUAUGACCAAAAAAUGAGUAGGCUAAGAACCUAUGUAAAUAAGUGAGGUAGGGGUUCCGUAAAAAUAAAUCUUUGGACUUGUUUGGGCAAUAUGCAUCAGGGGGAUGGUUACAGAAAUCAGCAUAUACAAAGGUUGUAUCAAAGUCAAAAGGAAAGUCACAGGUGGGAACUUGGAGGUCAAAACCUAAUGCAGAGUUAAUUCAGCUAUUAACAUACGAAAACGGUGACCUAAAAGCCUAAAAUUGACUGUGUUAGGCAUGUUGAUUGUGAGCAUGGCAUUUUUGUGAAAGAAAAAUGUGCAAUAAAAUUUAUGGGUAACCUCAAUGAAAGCAGGCAACCAUAAGUGAAAGAAUAUGUCCCAUCCAAUGCCACUAAUCAAAUCAGAGACUUCAUCUCGAAUUCAUAGUUCAUUCAGUAUGUCAAGAUGAAGGGACUUACCUUCCAUGUAGGGGAGGGAGGAGAUAGCAUCAUAUUGGGUGCACUUAGUAAGCUUGUUGAAUAUUAGGGUUCACGAGGAGUCAUGGACAGGCAGGGAUGUGGGAAAAUCCUUACCAAAGUCAGGAGUGGUGUGAUCAUUAGAGGAUGUAGAAGAACUACUCGUUGUGAAUCUAUCGUGCACCUGACUAGAACGUCAGGUGGUAGGACACUGGAGAGAAGAUGCAGCAGUAGGCCAUUUCCGCCCGUGAGGAGAUAAGGAGGAGAAAGACUUCGAGGAUGUUCUGUAGUGGCUGGUGCUUGGUUCAACAAUCAGUGACCUAGGUGGGGCAUGCGGACGGCUCUAAUAGGUAAGCACAACAGGAGGUCGUGGCCAAAGGGUCAGUGAUGGUGGGGUAGACGGUGACUGGGCAAUAGUGGUGGUGUCCUCGAUUGGUGGUGGGUUGUUGAUUGGUUCGCUGUCACUGUCGUUGUACACACUUGUACUGGUCUUGGGAGGCCGAGACAACAACAAAGGUCAGGCCUAGUGAUGGCUACCAUCUUCUGUCAGACUAUGCUAUCAGCGAUAGUGAGGACCUGCAAUGUGAAAUUGAGAGAAAAGGCACUGAAAGUGAAAGUAAAAUAAAAUUAGGGUAAAAAGUGUAAUAAUAAAAAAAUUAAUCGGCGAUAAAAUAGGGUGAUCGAUUUUCC